AACCUGCCGUAUGCAGGGGGACAACAGUCAGAAAUGACUGCUAAUACCGCAUAAGCACACAAUGCUGCAUGGCACGGUGUGAAAAGAUUUAUCGGCAUACGAUGGCCCCGCGUCUGAUUAGCCAGUUGGCAGGGUAAUGGCCUACCAAAGCAACGAUCAGUAGCCGGCUUGAGAGAGUGACCCGGCCACAUUGGGACUGAGACACGGCCCAGACUCCUACGGGAGGCAGCAG
rnacentral:rRNA from 1 species